UUUACUCUUUAAAAUUUUAUUUCUAAUGGCAUACCUAUGUAAUUACUUACAAAAAUUAAAGUUAUAUUUAAAAUGUACUUCCCAAAUAAUAUAGUUGGAUCAUAUGAAGUAUA
rnacentral:sRNA from 1 species